UUAUAAAGAGAACGAAAAUGCAGGAAGGAGGGGGUUAUGUACCUGGAUACCGUUGUGAUAGCGGGCUUAGUUACCGUUGGAUUAGUGAUUGCGUUUGGUGGUGGUUUUGCCUGGUUUAUCAAGAAAGAUAUAGAACGUCAUUCUGAGAAGUAAGCGCAAUCAAUUGAGAGUGGUUUUUGG
rnacentral:sRNA from 1 species